UAGCGAAGGGGGCUAGCGUUGGCUCGGAAUUACUGGGCGUAAAGCGCACGUAGGCGGCUUGUUAAGAUCGGAGGUGAAAUCCUGGAGCUCAACUCCAGAACUGCCUUCGAUACUGGCGAGCUUGAGUUCGGGAGAGGUGAGUGGAACUGCGAGUGUAGAGGUGAAAUUCGUAGAUAUUCGGCAAGAACACCAGUGGCGAAGGCGGCUCACUGGCCCGAGUACUGACGCUGAGGUGCGAAAGCGUGGGAAGCAAACAGG
rnacentral:rRNA from 1 species